UACGUAGGGUGCGAGCGUUAAUCGGAAUUACUGGGCGUAAAGCGUGUGUAGGCGGAUCGUUAAGUACCUUGUGAAAUCCCACGGCUUAACCGUGGAACGGCUGGGUAUACUGGCGAUCUUGAGCCACCUAGGGGCGAGCGGAACAAAUGGUGGAGCGGUGAAAUGCGUAGAUAUCAUUUGGAACGCCAACGGUGAAAACAGCUCGCUGGGGGUGUGCUGACGCUGAGACACGAAAGCCAGGGGAGCGAACGGG
rnacentral:rRNA from 1 species